rnacentral:rRNA from 1 species
AGAACGAACGCUGGCGGCAUGCCUAAUACAUGCAAGUCGAACGAAGGCUUCGGCCUUAGUGGCGCACGGAUGCGUAACGCGUGGGAAUCUGCCCCUUGGUUCGGAAUAACAGUUGGAAACGACUGCUAAUACCGGAUGAUGACGAAAGUCCAAAGAUUUAUCGCCAAGGGAUGAGCCCGCGUAGGAUUAGCUAGUUGGUGAGGUAAAGGCUCACCAAGGCGACGAUCCUUAGCUGGUCUGAGAGGAUGAUCACGCCACACUGGGACUGAGACACGGACCCAGACCUCCGUACGGGGAGGCAGCGAAGGUAAGGGAA